CCGGCGCACGGGUGAGUAACACGUAUCCAACCUGCCGUCUACUCUUGGCCAGCCUUCUGAAAGGAAGAUUAAUCCAGGAUGGCAUCAUGAGUUCACAUGUCCGCAUGAUUAAAGGUAUUUUCCGGUAGACGAUGGGGAUGCGUUCCAUUAGAUAGUAGGCGGGGUAACGGCCCACCUAGUCAACGAUGGAUAGGGGUUCUGAGAGGAAGGUCCCCCACAUUGGAACCGAGACACGGUCCAA
rnacentral:rRNA from 1 species